UGAAAUUCUCACUGUGUUCAUGCAUAGUUCUCCUGACCUCGGUGAGCAUCUGUAUGACUGUUACUUUGAACUCUCGGAUUCCACACGUAAGCCUACGUAGUCGUCUUAACACUCCAUAUGAGGUUAGAGUCUGUUUAAAGAAAAGUGAGUCAUCUCUCUACGUAGCGUUUCAGACGGCUGUCUCAUCUCGGAUGCCUGUGAAUACAGCUUUUGAAAUGUGAGCCACUCCACUGCAGGCUGCCUGCUCCUGCCUCCGCAAGACCCCCUGAACGGAGUCAGUUUAAGUCUUCCCCAGCCAAAAGAUUACCACUCGCUCAAGUCUCAGAUGAUGGAGAGCAUUGUCGGCAAUGAAGUCUCUUUGAAUGAAGGUAUGUAUGUUGUUUUUUUAGACAUAACGUUACUGCACGUGCUAAGAGACUACACAGUG